rnacentral:lncRNA from 1 species
CCGCCCCCAUCUGAGGUGACGGGAAAAGGGCUGGGGAAUUUCCAUUUCUCAUUAAGAGGAGGGCUGAAGUGAGAACCCCGCAAGAAGGAACAAAAUAUGAAGUAGACCUAACCCUGCUCUUGGAGAGUCUUGUGCGUCCAAGAUGCAAGAGGCGUCGAGGUAGCAAAAGUAGCUCCCACCUGUCGCUCUCCACAGGCGCCGCGGCUAUGGCCGGAAGUAGCCGCACGGGGAUUGGCGGAAAGAAGCAAUCCGUCUCAGCGAAGCCCUCUCUUCCUGCCAUUUCCUGGUUGGCAGACCUCGACGUCAGUCACCACAUCAGGCUCCGCCUCCGGGACAGCCUUGGGGCAGGAUGGUCCGGUGGGACCGCGUUCUCUCCGGGAAGCCGGCGGGCUGGACAGCGCCAUCCCUUGGUCCUGAGAACUGUCCGGCGGAGGAAGACAGAACGGUGCGUGGAAUCCGACCGCAGGGCUGGACGCGGCUAAGAGGACGUGCUCGCGGGCUAUUUCUGGUCCCGUAGUACCGCCACUUCUCUGUUGAGUGACCUCGGAGCGUUUGAUGUUACUCUAUGUAAAAUGGGAAUGUGAGCACCAUCCCCACCGGGUGGUUAGUUGAUAGCACAUGGAGCUUAGCAGAGUGGCCAACUUAUAGGGAAGAUUCGUUUUUUCUUAGUUAAUCCUCCCUCUUCCUUCAGCUCUCUGCCUGUUCUGGGUUCUGCCAGCCAAAACAAUUCUAGCUAAAUUUCUGACCAAGUAAGCUAUCCCCCUCUAAUGAUUUUCUCCCUUCCUCUCCCUCCCCCCCCCCCCCCAUUUUACCAAUAAAAAUAAUUAAAAG